CUACGUGCCAGCAGCCGCGGUAAUACGGAGGAUGCGAGCGUUAUCCGGAUUUAUUGGGUUUAAAGGGUGCGUAGGUUGUUCGGUAAGUCAGCGGUGAAACCUGAACGCUCAACGUUCAGCCUGCCGUUGAAACUGCCGGGCUUGAGUUCAGCGGCGGCAGGCGGAAUUCGUGGUGUAGCGGUGAAAUGCAUAGAUAUCACGAGGAACUCCGAUUGCGAAGGCAGCUUGCCAUACUGCGACUGACACUGAAGCACGAAGGCGUGGGUAUCAAACAGGAUUAGAUACCCUGGUAGUCCACGCAGUAAACGAUGAUUACUAGGAGUUUGCGAUAUACCGUCAAGCUUCCACAGCGAAAGCGUUAAGUAAUCCACCUGGGGAGUACGCCGGCAACGGUGAAACUCAAAGGAAUUGACGGGGGCCCGCACAAGCGGAGGAACAUGUGGUUUAAUUCGAUGAUACGCGAGGAACCUUACCCGGGCUUGAAC
rnacentral:rRNA from 1 species